GGAUGCCUAGGAGGAACUGACAAGUGGUGCUCCAAAGCCCAACCAACUCCAUUUUUUUUUUAAAGAAGAAGCUCCAGUUUGUAUGAGGCCUGACUCCAAUUCCAAGAUGAAAACCAUGAAGUCCACUUGUGCAAACAUCAUACAGUAACUGCCCGGACUCCUGGACCCUACCCCUAGCAACGGCCAGUCAGGCUACACCGGCAGGGCCAAGGAAGCAGCUGGGGGUGGAGGUUGAGGGACAUUCUCUGGAACUUGUUACUGAACAACAACAACAAACAAGGCACAUGCCACAAAGAUAACUUCAAAUCUGUGCAUCAGAUCCUGCUACUGCACUGACCAUGCUGGAACAAGGCUGACCCAUCCUUCCUAGAAGGAGACACCGAGGAGACAGGGUCUGCACCACAAGAAGAUGAAAGGGCAACCCUUGAAAAUCGUGUCUGUGGAGUUUAUUUUAAACAGUUCAAACUUUUCUGGCUCUAAAACAUAGAGGUCAUAUUAAAAAUUAAAAAG
rnacentral:lncRNA from 1 species